ensembl:lncRNA
GAGCUGAUUUCCCAGGCAAGAGAUGAUGCCUAAGACUACGCCUGCCUAGGCAGAGAGGUUUUCCUUUUUCUGGAAUGCCUAUAGUCUCUCCAUUAUCCAUACCCAGUCCUUCUAAGUGUCAUGCUGGUAGUCGUGGCUGGGAGUACCGUGCUGAUUAAGGACUGAGAACAGUGCCUUUUGGAUGAAGAAAAUGAUGAGAGGGGUUACAGAGGAUGCUAUCUUUCCAUCCACACCUUUUAACCCGUUCCAACCAGUAGAGACGGACGUAGUCCCGUGGCAAAAGGAAGCUUGGAAGCAUGAGUGAAGAAAGGAGGAUUCUGGAACUCAAAUAGUUUGAGGGGAGGCACAUCACCUUAACAGGACACCAGCAUCAUUUUGUUCUUUACUCUGUCGCAUCUCAGAGAGGGGACUCUCAGGGCUGGAAUGACAACUUUUAGCUCCUCAGCUUAUAGAUGAAGACCAUAGCUUAUAGAUAAAGAUUGUCGUGAUGUUUGGGUCAUGUUGGCCACACAGGUAGCUUCUAUCGGAGCAAGGGCCACUGCCUCUGGACUCCCGGGCAGUGGAAGAACAUGUUGUUCCAGAGCAUGGGUUAUGAGCAGCAGAAGAGAUCUGAGGAAGAAUUUUUGGUCUCAUUCCCCAGGGCAAUAAAGCACAUAUGAAAUAGCUGGAGGGGAAACAGCCAGGGGCCUUUGCACAAUCUAAUGGCCAUGUGUCUGCCUCCUGCUGUUACACUGGCUCCAACUCACCGGCUGUAAACUCAAUGGAGCUCUUCCUGCUGGCCUGCUACGGAAGAUCUGCAUGGUCUUAAGUAGGCCAGUUGUCUACAAGUAAAUGUGCAGUCACACUUUUAACUACCCAGUAGCUGCUAGGUGUUCUAUCAACAGCUGGGGCUCUUACCUCCUCAUGAGCAUCCUGGUCUAAUAAAUAGGCAAGGGUUAAGUGUAACAAUCAUGAUACAGGAAGACAAUCUAUGGAAACAUGGGGGAAAAAAGUAUUGAACCAACCUGGGAGAGAGAAGGGAUCAGGAAAGUUCUGGCAUAGAAAAGCUAAGGGCGGAGUAGGUACUGAAUGGGAGAAGGACUGGAGCAUAAGAGACAGUGGUAAUCAGUGGAUAAAGGUGUGGUGCAUGGAACCAAAACACAUGUUCAGAAAAAUGAAAAUGGUUUGUUUUCCCUGAGUGAUUAGUCUGUAGAGGAGAUAUUGGAUACCGAGUUCCUAGGACUCAUGUAAUAAAAUGUUUC